rnacentral:tRNA from 1 species
CCUUCGAUAGCUCAGUUGGUAGAGCGGUGGACUGUAGAAAGGUAACGGUUGUUGGUUCCAUAGAAAUCCAUAGGUCGCUGGUUCAAAUCCGGCUCGAAGGA